UACAGAGGUCUCAAGCGUUGUUCGGAUUCAUUGGGCGUAAAGGGUGCGUAGGUGGCGCGGUAAGUCGGGUGUGAAAUUUCGGAGCUUAACUCCGAAACUGCAUUCGAUACUGCCGUGCUUGAGGACUGGAGAGGAGACUGGAAUUUACGGUGUAGCAGUGAAAUGCGUAGAGAUCGUAAGGAAGACCAGUGGCGAAGGCGGGUCUCUGGACAGUUCCUGACGCUGAGGCACGAUGGUCAGGGGAGCAAACGGG
rnacentral:rRNA from 1 species